AGAGUUUGAUCCUGGCUCAGGAUGAACGCUGGCGGCGUGCUUAAUACAUGCAAGUCGAACGGAGUUUUAGAUGAAACCUAGUGAUUCUAGACUUAGUGGCGGACGGGUGAGUAACGCGUGGGUAACCUGCCCUGUACAGGGGGAUAACGGCUGGAAACGGCCGCUAAAACCGCAUAACAUCGGAAUACCGCAUGAUGUUCCGGUCAAAUAUUUAUAGGUACAGGAUGGGCCCGCGUCUGAUUAGCUAGUUGGCGAGGUAACGGCCCCACCCAAGGCGACGAUCAGUAGCCGUACUGAGAGGUAGAACGGCCACAUUGGGACUGAGACACGGCCCAAACUCCUACGGGAGGCAGCAGUAGGGAAUAUUGGUCAAUGGGGAAACCCUGAACCAGCGACGCCGCGUGAGUGAAGAAGUAUUUCGGUAUGUAAAGCUCUAUCAGCAGGGACGAUAAUGACGGUACCUGACUAAGAAGCCCGGCUAACUACGUGCC
rnacentral:rRNA from 1 species